UGGGGAAUUGUUCGCAAUGGGCGCAAGCCUGACGACGCAACGCCGCGUGGAGGAUGAAGGUCUUCGGAUUGUAAACUCCUGUUGCCCGGGACGAAACGCUCUGACCUAACACGUCGGAGUUUGACGGUACCGGGUGAGGAAGCCCCGGCUAACUCUGUGCCAGCAGCCGCGGUAAUACAGAGGGGGCAAGCGUUGUUCGGAAUUACUGGGCGUAAAGCGCGUGUAGGCGGCUUUGUAAGUUGGGUGUGAAAGCCCUCGGCUUAACCGAGGAAGUGCGCCCAAAACUGCAUGGCUUGAGUACCGGAGAGGGUGGCGGAAUUCCCGGUGUAGAGGUGAAAUUCGUAAAUAUCGGGAGGAACACCAGCGGCGAAGGCGGCCACCUGGACGGAUACUGACGCUGAGACGCGAAAGCGUGGGGAGCAAAC
rnacentral:rRNA from 1 species